UCAUAAGUGGAAGAGAGAAAAGGAGAAAUUGAAUGAUCUUUGUUCAUUUUUCUUUCUAUUAUGACCCAGAAAAAGACAUAUGGAGGGAUCGGAUUGGAGGAAAAGGGCAGAGUGGAAUUUGGAACUUCCUUUCAAGUGGGAGAUGAACCAGGGCCAACGGAGGACGGCUGCCUGCUGACAGCUGCCAUUUCCACAGACUCACUGGGCCAAAGUGAUAGCCAACACUGAGAAGAAGAAUCCAGUGUCCAGAUUUUUCAAAGGGCUGCAGAAGUCUUGUUCUGCUGGAUAUAUAUUUUUAAGUUAGAGCUUGUUGAACAACAGAAGAUUAUAGGACCAGCCAGAGACUCAAGGAGAGCCAAUGGGGGUAUUAUGGUUUUGGAUUUAGCUAACCACUGACUGGAGGAACUGAGACAGCAUACAGUGGCAAAGCCUUUGACAAAUAUGAGCUACCUCAUGGUCACAAGAUAGCUGCUAUACCUUCAAGCAUCAUAUCUUCAUUUCAAGCAGAAAUAAGGAAGAAAGAUAAGGGAUGAAAGAAAAUAAGAGUGACAGUUGAAUCUAUCCCUUUUAAUCAAGAAAGCAUAACCUUCCUGGAAAACCUGUGCUACAGGCUUCUGCUUACAUCUAUUAGCCAGAACUGUGACAAUGGCUAUCUUUACCGGAAGAGUGGAUAGCGAGAAGACAGCUGAGUCAGCUAACCAACAGUGAAU
rnacentral:lncRNA from 1 species